ensembl:lncRNA
ACUCCCCAUAAAUAUUCAGUCUGCAUGUGUUGUGCCUGCACUAUGGCCGAAUUCAGAUGACCAUACCAAACUGUGCCUGAUGGUCAGUUCUAGAUGGAAUACAGAUGCGAUUAUUCCAUCUGUUGGCCUCGGCCCUCUCCAAACAAAAAGAAAGGUUGAAGGACCUGCAGCACCAUGGCCCUUCAUGCUAAGCUACUUCUAACUACCCCCUCUAGCUCUGCUCACGACCCAACACUGAUUAUGCAGGGGCGAAUUCAUUUUCCCAACUUACAUUUUUAGUCCUUUUUCAUUUUGUAACAGCAAUUAAAAAAUAAAACAAUAAUUAAUGAAAAGAGAAAUCGUUGCAUUUCCAAGGAAAAACUAAUAGCACUUAACGCAGCACACGUGUCAAGUGUGAACUAUUUAAAAAGGAGAAAAAUUCUACAGUUUGACAAUAUAGAUUUGGUUGUAAUGAACAGAGGAAAAUUAGACCAGAAAAAAAAAGAAAAUCAAGGAAAACAAGAAACUUUUUUGGUGACUAAUUUUAGUGAGCCACGAUUCAAAAGGAUUCUAUACAUUUGUUUAGCCUUUUUCUUAAAUGCUAUAUACUUCUCUGAAUAUAUUAUUUAAUUCAUUCAUUUGCUUUACAAAACCAAAGUGUGUGUGUGUGAGUGUGUGUGUGUGAGGAGGUGGGCAGUGGGCUGGCAGGCAGGGUGCAGGCUAGCCGGUGGUCCUGCAGGAGUGUGGAAGGUCUUCUCCGUACAGGGAAAACCAAGACGGAAAUGACAACGCAGACGACAGGGCAGCGCAACCAAGGUCAUGGGGGCCAGCCGUGUCGUUUAACCCCCCUAAGCACCUUCACUUUCAUCUUUUCAAUGUUUGCCAUCACCUACCCCACCCCAAAUAUCAAUUCCAACAUAAUCUUAAGUAAAUAAUAAUAAUAAAAAAUAUAUGUGCGUGUAUCUCCGUCAAUAUCCUCCCAUGGUGUCCAGCCUGUGGCAGGCCAGGGCCCCAACAUGACCUUGCUUGUGGUGUCGGCUGAAGACUGGCUGUCCAGCACCCAGGACCUGCUGGGGAGAGACGCCAGCGAGGCCGGGG